rnacentral:lncRNA from 1 species
ACAAAUUAAAAUCUGGCAUCGACCCUUUCUUUCAAACAAGGCUUGCAAUUCAGUUCAACGAAUCACAUACAACUUGGCUAACAUGAAAGUUAGACAAGCGUUAAGAAAAACUAGCCUUUCAGCGUCUUCAAAUAUUUUACUCGACUGAACACAGCCUUUACAGAAUCUACAUGAUAUAUUCACAUAGCACACUAUAAUUAGC